CAAGACUCUCAUUGUAUGUGUUUCCAAGUGUGGAUGUGGGCGAAAGAGAUGGUGUGGUUAUAUAUGAGAAGAGCAAAAGCAGGUGAUGCUACAGCUGUGCCCGAUCCUCCCUCUGACCACAAGCAACACAUGGGACAGUCACAAGCAGGGCUGACACUUCAGCAGCAGGGAUUUCCCUGAACUCCAAUAAGGUCCCUCUGACUACAGCCUAAUCAACUCAGAGAGAAAGACAUGCGUCCAAGUGUCGGGUGCGUUUAAGUAUAAUCGCUUUAUCAAAGUUAAGUGUUUCACUUCAGGUAAUUAAAGAUGUACGCUAUAGUUUGAAAUGAAAAGUCAGUUUGUGUGGGAGAUCCCUUUAUUUCCCAUUCUUUUCUUUUCUCUUUUUCCCCUAAUUUCAGAACUGGCUGAAUAAAAUGGUAAGUAUAUUACCUUUAUCAUCUGACAUAGAGAAUAUAUAACAAUAGUAAUUUAAUUUAAAAAAUAAUGUAAUACAGCACACAAAUACUUUAUGUAUAAACAGGCAUACAACUUUUUGGUUCACAAAAUAUAGAAAAGUCUUUGUUAGACUCACCCAGCAUACUAUGUCUCUCAAACACUUAAAUCAAUACAUUUUUUAUAAAUCAUUCUAUUUUUUAAUCUCUAAAUUGUCCAAAAAUAGUGAAAAAUACCCCUCACAAUUUCUCAGAGCUAUAAGUGACAUCUUCAACUUUCCCAAAACCCCCAAAAUAUCAAAUUUACACUGUUGCAAAACAGAAAAAAGUGGGAAAUCAUCCCAUUUGUGAAGCUAAUGGAUAUCUUAUAUUUAUAGCUAAAAAUAUUAAAUAUAUUAAAAUAUGAAAUGGGUUGUGGAAACAGAAAAGAAUAUUGAUUACAAUUCACCAAGAAAUCUUCACUGUGCAAGACAGUUACAUUAUCUGCAGUACAUAUAUACUCUGUGACCUGUAUUUCAUGUACUUCCAGUCAUUGGAGUCAUUGUUGGAGACAUGAAGUAUUGAGACAACGGUGGGGAGGACACAGAGCUCCUGUUCACACAGGAACACCCUUCCUGAACUACCUUCCUGCCGUCCCCUGGGACUGUCUGUCUGUUACCCGAUAAACUGAUAAAAACGUAUACAAGUAGAGAAACAGUGCAAACAGUGUGUUCACACACUUGUUUGUGCUAGUUUGCCGGUCACCUAGCAAACAACAAACAAACACGAGUGACCACAUUAAAGGACCAGUGUGUAACAUUUAGGAGGAUCUAUUGGCAGAAAUUGAAUAUAAUAUUCAUAGGCAUGUUUUCAUUAAAGGCAUACUAUGCAGUUUUCCGGUUUUGUCAAACAGCUACCCCUAGAGUCGCUGCGGAGUACUUGUAUUUAACGUUAACUGUCGUAAAUACCACUCACCAGAGCCGUCUCUAUAUACAGCUCUGCGUCUCUGCACUCAUAGCCUGAUUCCCCCCCCCGUAUACCGGUACAUGUUCAGUAGGAUGGAAGCGUCGGACAUCGAACAGGCAAAGAUAGACUCCGAAGAUGUCUACUGACCAGGUAACGUCUGAGUGAAUGCCUGCUAGUGUUUUCCAUUGAGGCUGCUUCUUAUGUCGCUGAUGUAUGUGAUGUCGCGCCGUAAAGCAAUUCGUGAUUCGUGAGAUUUGGCGUGACGCCACCUUUCAGACUUGCAUUGCUGGUUCUGCCAACGGCGUCCCUCUCCUGCUUUGCUAUCGGGAUGAUUCGCUAUACUACGAGUUUGUUAACCAUCGAAAUGACUUAGAAGCUGUUAUAUUAAGGUAAAAAUCUUGCAUAGUGUGCCUUUAAUGUAUAAUCACCUCAAUAUAGUAAUUGGUUAUGUUUUUGUUACCUUAGAAUGAGACGUUUUUAUCUACAGACUCCACAGGUCGCCUUUUAUGGAGUCCGCCAUGUUUAACCGUCAUGUUUCUGCAGUAGCACCUGGCCUGUUGCGUUUUUCACUAGGUUCGCGGUUUCACACAGUUUCAACACACCUCACAGCUCAUGUUCAUUCCCAGGUCGUCCAAUACAGAUGGAAGUGGUGUUCAGUUAGUUGCAAUCAGCAACUUCACCACUAGAUGCCACUAAAUCCUACACACUGGUCCUUUAACAGUGGCCCAAGAGCUACAGGGGAGAGUUUGGGCGUAGCAAACUAAUGAAGGGCUGAUGUGAGUUAACACCUGAGUGACACCUCAGGGUAAAAGUCAUCAUAAGUUGUCACCAGACUAACAGACUAGUUUGUCCUGCAAAGUAAACUAAAUGUAUCCUGCUAAUAGAUGGUGUAGUGACAGUGCUCUGAAUAGACCAUGGAUUUUCCAAUUACAUUAGGUACGUGGACGAAAUUCAUAACAAGAUAAGAUGUAAUAAAAUCAACUUUAUUAUCCCUGUAGGGUAUUUUUGUUUCUUAGACACUGAAGCUGCAGCAUAAAGGGCAAUAAAAGCAGCCAGUGUCAGAACAAGAACAAACACCACCUGUCAGACAUACCAGUCACAUCAUACUUUCAGAUCUGACAAGAGUUUGCUUAAUAAAGCUUACUGGAGAUUCAUUACAAAUGUUGUGCGGCCAAGCAUUGUUCAAAGACACACAAAUGGAGCGAUGCCUUUGCAAGCUAGUUCAGACAGUCAACCUCGAGCUGCACUGCUGUAUACACACGUGAGAUGUCUCUUUCUAUAAUCAUAUACCAAACACACCCUCCCAAUUUGGGCGGUGUAUUUAAGUUGCAAGAUCUCCCAUUUCUCCUUCUGCUCUGUCAAUUUCGCAGCUGCCCUUCAUCAGUAUGGCUCCCUGUGCUUUCAGCCCCACCACCACCCAGCAUCCACCUGCGGGCUCCAGAUACAGGCUUUAAGAAUUAAGAUAUUUGCUCAUCACUUUCCAAUAUCAAUCACCAAACUAUGUUCUGCUGCUGCAGUAAAUUCUAUUUUCUUCUUAUUCUACUGAAGAUAUAAACGUUUCCAGAGAUGUAACUUACCCCAUAUGUCAGGCUGAAUGUUGUGAGAUGUGUGUAAAAGGAUGCAAAAGACAACUGAAAUAUAGUCAGUGGUGGAAUCUAACUGUACUUAAGUACUGUACUCAAAUUACAAUUUGAGGUACGUGUACUUUACUUGACUGUUUUCUUCUCAUGCCACUUUCUGGGCCUAUGCAUUUCAGAGGGAACUAUUCUUUUUACUCCACUACAAGCAGAGUAAUUUGACCGCUUUAGUUAAUUUACUAAUUCAACAUUUUUGAGAAAAGUGCGGCUGACUUUUUGACUUUUAAAGUAAUUUUUCAAAAACGUUUCACAGUUCCAGCUUCACAUGUGAAAAUUUGCAGCUUUUCCUCUGAUCCAUAAUGAAAAAAAGCAUUAGUUGCAAUCCUGAACAAAAUAGUUCAAAAUUAGCUCCACCUCAACCAACUACGACAGUAAAAUCCUACUUUUACAUUAAUGCAAUGGUCAUAAUAAUCUAAUGCUAUAUAAUGGUAUAACAGUCCCAGGGUCCCUUUCUGCAUCCAGUACUUUUUAAAAACACUUUAUUUAUAGAUUUUCAGUUUACAGAACAAAAUUAAACAGCAGUACAGAAUCCCAAUGUCAGUACUUUAACCUUUAAUACUCUCAGUACAUUUUCUUGAUGAGACUUACAUACUUUAACUCAAGUCUUUCAAGUGAGGACUUUUACUUGUAUUUUUACAGCAUGGCAUUAGUUAGUUUUAGUGAAGUACAUGAUUUGACUACUUCCUCAGUGACUGAAUAUAGUGUCUUUGCCUUGGUUUUGAAUAUUUAAUUGAAUGUAAUUGAAUAUACAGUAAACAUUUGGCUGUAAUACUGUAGGUGUUGCAGUAAAUACAGAAAAUACUGUAUGCUGAAAAUAUGUAGACUGUCAUACAACUUCUUUCUAACUUAACUGUAAAACUACUGUAUAAGUAGAAAUGCAUUAGGGAAAAUCAGAGGUGAUUAACUUAUCUUGUCUGUUUGAAGAGAAGAGAAGAGAAGAGAAGAGAAGAGAAGAGGAGAGGUGUACUUUCCUAUUACUGUCAUGUAGAACAGCAGUCCUUAAUUCACACACAGUCCUCACUAGCUGGCCUGUGCCGAAACAGCGAUUCACACUGCCAUCUGUUGGAGAGAUAUAAAGCCUGGAGAAAAGCUUGGAGCUGCUAUCGCUGCAUUCUGUGAUCCGUGCCAAAUUCUAUCAUCACAUGAUUACUGACGAAUGGAGACAUGACAUGCAAAUGAGAUAUGAGAUACUGGAUGAGGUAGACUGAGGGAGUUGCGUGGUAGCCUUGAUAUGUAAUGAAUGGUAUUUAGGUGUUGUGGAUUGGUGUGGCUUAUUCAGCAUGGGAAACAAGGCCAGUAUAUAUACUGAAUAGUGCAGUCCUGACUGGAUUACAGAGCACAUAGCUUGUCUUUGAACAAUCAAGACACAGACAGUGAGCACGUACACAGGCAACCAAAAACACAGCAACUCAAAGAGACACAUGUACCUCCCAUUCUUGCUCUCUCACUAUCUCUCUCUCUCUUUAUCUCUCCGUUUCUCUCUGACAGUCACCUUGAGGAAGACUACGGAAUGAAAAGGAAGGAAGCAAAAUAGAGAAAAUACAAGAGUAGAGUAGAGGAGACAGAGGUGCAGGACUGCCAGAAGGAAAGACUACCAGCUCCAGGAAUGUCUUGGCAUCGGUGUCCGACCAGGCCGCGCUAUUCAACAAAACAAGAUUCCUGUCAUUGAAAUGCUCUCAAUCGCACUAGACAAUGGAGACAGAGCUGGGACAGAAAGAGAGAUAAGACAAGAGGAAAACAAUUGCACAGGUCACCGUCCUUGCAUGCUGUAAUGAAUGCGUAAUGUGUUUUCCAACCACUAUGACCUCAGAAGGCCUGGUGCUACAACCUGCAUAACAUUUUAUAGCGUCAUUCUUUUCACCUUUGUUAGGACUUGGUCUACGUACACAGCACUAGCAUGCCUCACAAUGAUGUUCAUUCCAGUGGAAAUAGGAUUUUGAAUGACUGAGUAAGGUUUUAAAAUGCUGUUAUGGUCAAAACCCAAAAUAUGUAGUGUUCUUAAUUUUCAGAUUGUGUUUUGUGUUUUUAUUUAUUUACUAGUCCAUUUUCUUUCUGUUAAAUUAUCUUCAAUUAGCAGAACAUUUUAUUUUUAUUUCUGCUACUGUCCAGAGAUGAAAAGCUUGCCACAUUUUUUCCAAGACAGGCUGUUGCUAAAAGGAGAGUAUAUCUCAGACUUCAACAGCCAGAAACAAGUUCGUAAUUGAUGCUUAAGUUGCACAUUCACCAUGUACAUUUUUGAAGGUGAUAAUAUGUCAUUGUUAUGUUUAAAGCUCAGUGACCAAAAAAUUCAAACUCAGAUGUUGGAUGAUCUCAUUUCCUGUUUUUCGGUUGCUGUCUUGAACAGCCAACAGAUUAGAGUUACUGUUGUGAUGUAUCAACUGUCAACAGCAAGCAGCACAAGGUAAAUGCGUCUAAAAUAAAAGGGAGGUACCAUGUUUAAAUAAUUUCCACAACAAAAAGGGAUUUAUGUGUUAAUAUCCAGUGUAACAAAGAUACUAGAGUGGUUGUCUCCAGUUAUGUCCCACCAAUGUUUGCAUAAAAUUAUAAAGACUACAGUAUAAUAAAAGCAACAGCAUAA